rnacentral:misc_RNA from 1 species
CUGAGUGAGGGCCCUCUGGGUCCAACCUCCCACCCGUGUCUAUUGUACCUUGUUGCUUCGGUGGGCCGGCCUUCUGGCCGCCCCGGGCGCUCGCCCGGGGGCUCUCGCGCCCGCCGAGGACACCAAUGAACGCUGUCUGAAGAAUGCAGUCUGAGCGAAUAGCUAAAUUAGUUA